CCCGCGACAAGCGGAGGAGCAUGUGGUUAAUUCGAUGAUACGCGAGGAACCUUACCUGGGCUCGAACGUAAGAUGACUGUAGGUGAAAGCUUACAUCUCUUCGGAGCAUUUUACGAGGUGCUGCAUGGUUGUCGUCAGCUCGUGCCGUGAGGUGUCGGGUUAAGUCCCAUAACGAGCGCAACCCCUACCUUUAGUUGCCAUCAGGUUAAGCUGGGGACUCUAAGGAACUGCCUACGCAAGUAGUGAGGAAGCGGGGAUGACGUCAAAUCAGCACGGCCCUUACGUCCAGGGCUACACACGUGCUACAAUGGCCGAUACAGAGGGCAGCUACCUGGUGACAGGAUGCAAAUCUCCAAAGUCGGUCUCAGUUCGGAUCGGAGUCUGCAACCCGACUCCGUGAAGUUGGAUUCGCUAGUAAUCGCGCAUCAGCCAUGGCGCGGUGAAUACGUUCCCGGGCCUU
rnacentral:rRNA from 1 species